rnacentral:rRNA from 1 species
AACGAACGCUGGCGGCAGGCCUCAUACAUGCAAGUCGAGCGGACGUAUUCUUUCGGGAGUACGUUAGCGGCGAACGGGUGAGUAACAGGUGGAUAACCUGCCUUCUGGUGGGGGAUAACGGCUGGAAACGGCCGCUAAUACCGCAUGUGGUUGCCGGUCCGCGGACCGGUAAAGAAAGGCGCCGCAAGGCGUCGCCAGAAGAUGGGUCCGCCCCCCAUUAGCUAGUUGGCGGGAUAACAGCCCACCAAGGCAACGAUGGGUAGCCGGACUGAGAGGUUGGCCGGCCACACUGGAACUGAGACACGGUCCAGACACCUACGGGUGGCAGCAGUAGGGAAUAUUGGGCAAUGGGCGAAAGCCUGACCCAGCCAUGCCGCGUGAAGGAAGACGGCCUUAUGGGUUGUAAACUUCUUUACUACGCGAAUAGAGGUUAGUACGAGAUACUAAUAGGAAGGUAGUGUAGUAAAAAGCACCGGCUAACUCCGUG